AGCGAACGCUGGCGGCAGGCUUAACACAUGCAAGUCGAGCGGGCAUCUUCGGAUGUCAGCGGCAGACGGGUGAGUAACACGUGGGAACGUACCCUUCGGUUCGGAACAACUCUGGGAAACUGGAGCUAAUACCGGAUACGCCCUUAUGGGGAAAGGUUUACUGCCGAAGGAUCGGCCCGCGUCUGAUUAGCUAGUUGGUGGGGUAACAGCCUACCAAGGCGACGAUCAGUAGCUGGUCUGAGAGGAUGAUCAGCCACACUGGGACUGAGACACGGCCCAGACUCCUACGGGAGGCAGCAGUGGGGAAUAUUGGACAAUGGGCGCAAGCCUGAUCCAGCCAUGCCGCGUGAGUGAUGAAGGCCUUAGGGUUGUAAAGCUCUUUUGUCCGGGACGAUAAUGACGGUACCGGAAGAAUAAGCCCCGGCUAACUUCGUG
rnacentral:rRNA from 1 species